rnacentral:rRNA from 1 species
GAAAGAUUCAUCGGAAGAGGAUGGGCAUGCGGCGCAUUAGCUAGACGGCGGGGUAACGGCCCACCGUGGCGACGAUGCGUAGGGGCUCUGAGAGGAAGGUCCCCCACACUGGUACUGAGACACGGACCAGACUCCUACGGGAGGCAGCAGUGAGGAAUAUUGGUCAAUGGGAGAGAUCCUGAACCAGCCAAGCCGCGUGAGGGAAGACGGCCCUAUGGGUUGUAAACCUCUUUUGUCGGAGAACAAAACCCGGGACGAGUCCCGGACUGCGUGUAUCCGAAGAAAAAGCAUCGGCUAACUCCGUGCCAGCAGCCGCGGUAAUACGGAGGAUGCGAGCGUUAUCCGGAUUUAUUGGGUUUAAAGGGUGCGUAGGCGGUCUGUUAAGUCAGCGGUAAAAUUGCGGGGCUCAACCCCGUCGAGCCGUUGAAACUGGCAGACUUGAGUUGGCGAGAAGUACGCGGAAUGCGCGGUGUAGCGGUGAAAUGCAUAGAUAUCGCGCAGAACUCCGAUUGCGAAGGCAGCGUACCGGCGCCAGACUGACGCUGAGGCACGAAAGCGUGGGGAUCGAACAGGAUUAGAUACCCUGGUAGUCCACGCAGUAAACGAUGAAUGCUGGUUGUCCGGGUCGAAUGAGAUCUGG